GACAGAGGUGCCAAGCGUUUAGGCGGAAUCACUGGGCUUAAAGCGUGUGUAGGCGGAUCUGUAAGUACCUUGUGAAAAUCCCACGGCUCAACCGUGGAACUGCUCGGUAUACUGCUUAUCUUGAGCCACUUAGGGGCUACCGGAACAAAUGGUGGAGCGGUGAAAUGCGUAGAUAUCAUUUGGAACGCCAAUGGUGAAAAACAGGUAGCUGGGAGUGUGCUGACGCUGAGACACGAAAGCCAGGGGAGCGAACGGG
rnacentral:rRNA from 1 species